rnacentral:rRNA from 1 species
ACGCUCGACACCUACGGAGGCAGCAGUGGGGAAUAUUGCACAAUGGGGGAAACCCUGAUGCAGCGACGCCGCGUGAGCGAAGAAGUAUUUCGGUAUGUAAAGCUCUAUCAGCAGGGAAGAAACUGACGGUACCUGACUAAGAAGCACCGGCUAAAUACGUGUCCAGCAGCCGCGGUAAUCUGAGCGGGCUGGCAAGGC